UACGAAGGGUGCAAGCGUUACUCGGAAUUACUGGGCGUAAAGCGUGCGCAGGCGGUUUUGUAAGUCUGUCGUGAAAUCCCCGGGCUUAACCUGGGAAUUGCGAUGGAGACUGCAAGGCUAGAAUCUGGCAGAGGGGGGGUAGAAUUCCACGUGUAGCAGUGAAAUGCGUAGAGAUGUGGAGGAACACCGAUGGCGAAGGCAGCCCCCCUGGGUCAAGAUUGACGCUCAUGCACGAAAGCGUGGGGAGCAAACAGG
rnacentral:rRNA from 1 species